AACAACCUCCAGCGGUUGCCCAUCCACCCUCACAUCUGUGACCGGUCACACCUUGGCCAGGCUAAUAAGCUUAGCUCACUAACAGUGACCAAUAGGAAGAAAACACACUCCAUACCUCCCAGUGUUACAACCCUGGGGGGGCUGGAUGAACUAUAAGGCCAAAUGAUUAGACCAGAAUGAGUAAAUUCCAAUGAAUCUUGUCACACGAUCCUUUCCCCCUGCACCCAAAAUGGCCAACCGAAGGGAAAUGGAAGUAGCCGAGUAUAUCUGGAGAAGCGUCUCCUCAGACUCCUGGUAAUAAGUUAGAACUCUGUCACACUGAUGUGGCGAGGAGCUUCAGUGAUGUAGUCGUGGACGCCCACCCUGUAGAAGCCUGCGUGGUGCCGAGUGACUGAUUGGACUUCCUUGCUGUAUCAAGGAAAAGCCUGUUCUUUUCCGUGGGCACCGUGAUGACAUCAGUUAGCCGGACAUUGGCUUCUUAGCAACAGCUGGCAGUGUCAGUGGAGCAGAGCAGAGAAGGGAAAAGAAAA